rnacentral:snRNA from 1 species
AGAUGUGAGGGCGAUCUGGCUGUGACAUCUGUCACCCCAUUGAUUGCCAGGGUUGAUUCUACUGAUCUGGCUGGCUAAGUGGGUGUCCCCUUCCUCCCUCUCUGCUCCAUGUGCUGCACUCUUAGUGGAAGAGGGCAACCACCCCCAUAGAGAACUGUUUCCUCUGUCAAGGGUAUAAAAGUAGCUGCACUCCCUGCUAGAACCUCCAAACAAGCCCUCAAGCUGUUUACCAGCUAAACUGUGAUGUUCACCUGUGUGCCCAC